rnacentral:rRNA from 1 species
UACGUAGGGUGCGAGCGUUAAUCGGAAUUACUGGGCGUAAAGCGUGCGCAGGCGGUUUUGUAAGCCAGGUGUGAAAUCCCCGGGCUCAACCUGGGAAUGGCAUUUGGGACUGCAAGGCUGGAGUGUGGCAGAGGAGACUGGAAUUCCUGGUGUAGCAGUGAAAUGCGUAGAUAUCAGGAGGAAUACCGAUGGCGAAGGCAGGUCUCUGGGCUGACACUGACGCUCAUGCACGAAAGCGUGGGGAGCGAAACAAGGAUUG